UCCGGUUCUUCACCAGCAGUCUCCUUAGAGUCCCCAUCUUUACAUGUUGGCAACUAAGAACAAGGGUUGCGCUCGUUACGGGACUUAACCCAACAUCUCACAACACGAGCUGACGACAGCCAUGCAGCACCUGUCUCUCGGUUCCUUUCGGCACCCCACUGUCUCCAGCAGGUCCCAAGGAUGUCAAGGGUAGGUAAGGUUCUUCGCGUUGCAUCGAAUUAAACCACAUGCUCCACCGCUUGUGCGGGCCCCCGUCAAUUCCUUUGAGUUUUAACCUUGCGGCCGUACUCCCCAGGCGGAAGACUUAUCGCGUUAGCUUCGAUACUCAUAGGUCUCGCCUACCAACAUCUAGUCUUCAUCGUUUACAGCGUGGACUAC
rnacentral:misc_RNA from 1 species